UUCUGGCUUCUCAAACAAUGUCAUAGCACCAGUGUGAUAACACUUAGAAGGGAACUAUUUAUCAUUCUAAUUGUCAUCACUCAGGUGUUGCGUCUGACUACACAACCAUUCAGCU
rnacentral:precursor_RNA from 17 species